AUAGUUGGCAAUGGAGAAACCUGCCGGUUCUGGGUUGACCAUUGGCUUGACGGCAAGUCUAUUGCCGAGAUCGCGCCAAACAUGAUCACCCUGGUGCCCAGGUGACACCACAGCAAACACCUUGUGCAUGAUGGACUCCUAAACUGGGCAUGGAUCAGAGAUAUCCGUGGCGUGUUGGGCAUGGUCGCCACUGUUGAGUAUAUUCACAUUUGGAGGCGUCUUCUCCAUGUGACUCUGAAAGUGCGUUAUAUCGACUAG
rnacentral:rRNA from 1 species